UUUUAAUAUGCCCCAAAGGAGCAUAAAGCAUAGAAGCAUGAUUUCUAGCAUGACAUGUCACUUGCCCUAUGUAUCAAGUGGUAAUUGUUCAAACUCUUUGAUUCAGUAUAUCUAUAGCUUAAUUCUGGUUGUGCCCAAGAAUUUGUUUAUAAGGAUAUCAAUAGCAACAUAAUUAUAAAAGCAAAGAAAGAAUUAAAUGACUGGCAAUAGGAGAAAGUUAAAAGUAAAAUUAAUAAAAAAGUUUCAUGCAGUCAUUAAAAAUUAACAUUUUCAAGGAAUGUUUAGUGGCAUGAAAGAAUAAUAAAAGCUAUAUUUGAAACUACAUAAAUUAUAAUCCUAAUUUUAAAAUACUUUAGACAUAUUUGAAGACUAGAAGGAAAUAGUCUCUAGAAGGAAAUAGUCUCAAAAGUUAACAAUGUGUAUUUCUACCCAUAGCUUUACGAGUAAUUUAUCUUCUAUAAAUUAUUUAUUUAUAUUCACCAUUUUCUAGAGAAGCCUAUCAUUAUUUGGGAAAACAAUCAUUUAAAAUGUAUGAAAUGCCUGUCUGAUGCAAAACAGUGUGCUGGGUGCUGAAGGGAUGGAAAGAUGAGAGGAUUCGCUCGACACCUGUCAUCUAGCAACACCAUUUUGUAAGGGAUGCAGAUUCACAGAAAUACCUAUCUGGGGCAACGGGGACCCAGUGUGAAGAAGAAACUCACAAUAAGUAGACAAGAGGACACCUUGUCAGACACCUUGCCAGAGCUCACCACUGUGCUGCAGUGCUGGUGGGGACACUUCAGCACCACCUGACCAAUUGAAGGAAUGUACUCUUUCAGAGCUGAUCCCACCCAGUUUGAGCAGGACACUUGGCAUCCUUUCGGCCACACCCUUAUCCUGAAUCCUAGGCAGGAAGACCUCCAGGGAAGCCAUGUUUACCAUGUCUGUUCUCAUUUUGGGGUCCAAAUUCCAGUACCAAAAAAAGAAAAGAAAGAAAUUAUCUUGUCAGUGAGCUCAGGAUAAAAUAAUAUAUUAUCAUGCAAGAAUGGUACACGAUAUUAAAGAUAGGAUGCCAUACAGAGUCAUGCAUCGCAUCACGUGUGACAUGACCUCAUAAAAAUGAGAAGCAUGAUUUCUAGCGUGGUUGGGGGCAGACCAAGUCUUUCCCUACUUAAUAUAAGGUUCCUGAAGACUAGAAUAGGGUAGAAUUUUCUUUGUUGCUUCCAAAGUUCUUAGCAGCUCCUGGCAUAUGGUAAGCAUUAAGUAGUUCUUUAAUUAAUAAAUAUACAUUAGUAAAUAAGAUUCAUAACAAAUGAAGCCAAGAAAAAUGCUGAUUGUGAGAUAACAGGAAAGUAAGAAAUAGACCCCCUGUCGGGCCUGCUUAGUACAGAAUGGGCAAUACUGAAGACAGGAAGCUCUGGAACAGCACCAUAGGGAGCUGCAUGCUGGAUAGGACCAUGGACUCUGGAGCCAAAGCUUUAAGUUCAGAUGACCUCUGCCACCUAUAAGAUGUGUGACCUUGGUCAGGUUAUGUAACUUUUCAUCACUGUCAUAUAUAUCUCAUAGAGCUGUUGUGAGAUUGGAAUGAGUCGACAAUACUUGUGGAAGUGCCUAGAACACUCUUAGCACCUAAUAAGAGCUCAGUGAAUGCUCAUUAUUGUUGUUAUUCUUGGUAGUUAGAAUGACUGAAGAUGAGGAUGCUGUUCAGGAACCUGGAAGUCCCCGGAGAUGGAAGCCCUCCUCUCCCCGGCUCCAAUUCUACUGACGCACUGAUUCAGCUGCUGCUUUUUGUCUCUUGCUUUUCCAGUGUCCUUCUCCAUGGUUCCCAGUUUGUGUGUCUCAGACAAGGAGGGACUAGACUUGGAGUGGGUUCCUUUUUCCUUCUUUGAUCAGAGAUUUCAGGCCAGGACCACUCCAGCCUGAUCACUGGCCAUUCUGGGCAUGGGCCUGUUCUUGUCCAGAUGGCCAUGGCUGGGUGGACCCACUACAGUGCAGAUGAAGAGAGUUGUUGUAAAUAAGGAAUUUUAAAUUGUUCUGAAAUGAGGAUUUGUAGAAUGAAAGAGAAAGGUUAUAAAGGACUUAAAACUCUGCUGAAGAGACAGAUGAUCUUUGGUGUUUUCCCCCUAGCAUACUGAUUCAUUUUCUAAGGCUCAUUAGUUAUUGUUUAAAUCCACAAAGGAAAUGAUGUGACUCAGAACUGUGGAAAUGAAAGGAAACCUCAGAGGCCUUUAUUGAACCCCUGCCUUUCUAGGCCUUGCCCUUUCCACCUCUGUGUCAGUUCACCUUACAGCCUGACUCUUUGUUUAAUUUUUCAAGUGCUCGGACCAGCCAAGAAAACAUAAUGUGGUAUUCAUACCAUAUAGAGAGAAAUACCGGCGGGCCUUCUCAUAAUGUUCUGUAGUUGAGUGAAACCUGUGGGAAAGGUUUAGGGGGACACUAACACCAUGUGUGCAAGUUACCACAGACCACACUGCUACUGUCUCCCACCAUGCUGGGGACCCACAACUUUCCACCACUCCCUUUGGCUUCAAGGUGAUCAGAACAAUGUUUUACUUCCAGAAAGUCAACCAGUUGCCACUUUAGACUCCACAAGCACUUGAGUCACAUCUGCUAGAAAUGACUGCCUGCUCUGGUGCCUGUAGCUCAUUCUGUGCAAACAGCAGGGAACAGACAGGUAAGCAGUAAGGAGGUGCGCUCUAAAGACUUCAGAAGAUCACUGUUCCUUUUUGGGCCAUCGCUCUUUUCCAGAUGUCUGUGAUUUGCCAUUUCUCCUAGCCAAAGAAUAGCUCUGGAAACCCUGGACACAAAGCAUUCUAUCCCCUAUUACUCAACGUUUUUUCCAGAGCAACCUAAAAGGUUAUAUUGGGUUUUACGAGCUGCGCAGGAUUUCUGACGGGUGUACCACCUAGAAAGAUGAACUUUGGAAACUGCAGGCUUGGAACAGCUUUUGUGAGUCCACCCACGAGCAGGAGAAUGAGUGGAGACAAAAAUCUCUGCUUCCUGUACCCCAGUUGAAUAUUAUGGCCAACCCCCGAAAAAGGGAAAAUGUCAUUUAAAGUGUUAUAAUUGUCCCCACAUGUGAUCUGUGCCCUUUGAAAUAUAGCUCGCUACUCAAGGUGAAACUUAGUGACACAAGCUUCAGAUGUUAAAGAUUAAUCAUUCUUUCCUUUUUCCUCUAAAAAUGAAAAUAAGAUAAAUGGGUCAUCGGCUAAGAGGUGAAUUUCCUUGAAUGAGCAAAACCAAAGGGCUCUUAUCCCCAUUAGGAAUAAACACUUCAAAAUAGCAAUACAAACUGGUCGCCUGUGGCCCAGACCUAUAAUCGCAGUGAUCUGGGAGGUUAAGGCACAGGAUCAUAAGUCUGAGGCCAGUCUUAGCAACUUAGUGAGAUCCUGUCUCAAAAAGAGUUGAGGUUAUAGAUCAGUGGUAAAGUACCCUUGGGUUCAAUCCCCAGUACCAAAAAAAGCAACACAAAACCAGGAUUGGAGGGUGGGGGGAGCAACCAAUUUAAAGACUUUUGCUGACACAGAUCUUCUCAAAUACAUGUUAUUUGAAAAUAUGUAAAUCAAUGGAUGUGUAACUGAUGUGAUUCUGCAAUCUGUAUAUGGGGUAAAAAUGGGAGCUCAUAACCCACUUGAAUCAAAUUGUGAAAUAUGAUAUAUCAAGAACUAUGUAAUGUUUUGAACAGCC
rnacentral:lncRNA from 1 species